CAUUAUACAGCGAAACUGCGAAUGGCUCAUUAUAUAAGUUAUCGUUUAUUUGAUAGUACCUUACUACUUGGAUAACCGUGGUAAUUAAAAUCCCGACUUCGGAAGGGAUGUAUUUAUUAGAUUAAAAACCAAUGCCCUCUGGGCUCUCUGGUGAUUCAUGAUAACUUCUCGAAUCGCAUGGCCUUGCGCCGGCGAUGGUUCAUUCAAAUUUCUUCCCUAUCAACUUUCGAUGUUUGGGUAUUGGCCAAACAUGGUCGCAACGGGUAACGGAGGGUUAGGGCUCGACCCCGGAGAAGGAGCCUGAGAAACGGCUACUACAUCCAAGGAAGGCAGCAGGCGCGCAAAUUACCCAAUCCCGACACGGGGAGGUAGUGACAAUAAAUACUGAUACAGGGCUCUUUCGGGUCUUGUAAUUGGAAUGAGUACAAUUUAAAUCCCUUAACGAGGAACAAUUGGAGGGCAAGUCUGGUGCCAGCAGCCGCGGUAAUUCCAGCUCCAAUAGCGUAUAUUAAAGUUGUUGUGGUUAAAAAGCUCGUAGUUGAACCUUGGGCCUGGCUGGCCGGUCCGCCUCACCGCGUGUACUGGUCCGGCCGGGCCUUUCCCUCUGUGGAACCUCAUGCCCUUCACUGGGCGUGACGGGGAAACAGGACUUUUACUGUGAAAAAAUUAGAGUGCUCCAGGCAGGCCUAUGCUCGAAUACAUUAGCAUGGAAUAAUGAAAUAGGACGUGCGGUUCUAUUUUGUUGGUUUCUAGGACCGCCGUAAUGAUUAAUAGGGACAGUCGGGGGCAUCAGUAUUCAAUUGUCAGAGGUGAAAUUCUUGGAUUUAUUGAAGACUAACUACUGCGAAAGCAUUUGCCAAGGAUGUUUUCAUUAAUCAGGAACGAAAGUUAGGGGAUCGAAGACGAUCAGAUACCGUCGUAGUCUUAACCAUAAACUAUGCCGACUAGGGAUCGGACGAUGUAAAUAAUUGACUCGUUCGGCACCUUACGAGAAAUCAAA
rnacentral:rRNA from 1 species